UACGUAGGGUGCGAGCGUUAAUCGGAAUUACUGGGCGUAAAGCGUGCGCAGGCGGUGAUGUAAGACAGUUGUGAAAUCCCCGGGCUCAACCUGGGAACUGCAUCUGUGACUGCAUCGCUGGAGUGCGGCAGAGGGGGAUGGAAUUCCGCGUGUAGCAGUGAAAUGCAUAGAUAUGACCCGGAACACCGAUUGCGAAGGCAGCCCACUAAGCAAUGAUUGACGCUGAGGCACGAAAGCGUGGGGAUCAAACAGG
rnacentral:rRNA from 1 species